rnacentral:rRNA from 1 species
AUUGAACGCUGGCGGAAUGCUUUACACAUGCAAGUCGAACGGUAGAGGGGGCAACCCCUCGAGAGUGGCGAACGGGUGAGUAAUAUAUCGGAACGUGCCCAGUCGUGGGGGAUAACGUAGCGAAAGUUACGCUAAUACCGCAUACGAUCUACGGAUGAAAGCGGGGGAUCGCAAGACCUCGCGCGAUUGGAGCGGCCGAUAUCAGAUUAGGUAGUUGGUGAGGUAAAGGCUCACCAAGCCAACGAUCUGUAGCUGGUCUGAGAGGACGACCAGCCACACUGGAACUGAGACACGGUCCAGACUCCUACGGGAGGCAGCAGUGGGGAAUUUUGGACAAUGGACGCAAGUCUGAUCCAGCCAUUCCGCGUGCAGGACGAAGGCCUUCGGGUUGUAAACUGCUUUUGUACAGAACGAAAAGGUCUCUAUUAAUACUAGGGGCUCAUGACGGUACUGUAAGAAUAAGCACCGGCUAACUACGUG